rnacentral:lncRNA from 1 species
CUGAGAUGAUGACGUGGUUAGACAGUUGGACUAAAAUGCUAUUCUACUUUUACUCAUGUUGGAAGAACAGCUGUUAUUAAAGGUCUUGUAGAAAUAUCAAAAUGGAAGUAAAAGUUCAAAAUACUUUAUUGAUCCCACAAGGGACAAUUAUGUAGGCAGGAGUGCAAAAACAUCAAAUCAAUUUACAAGAACAUACAACAUAAUCCCAACUAAUCAUGAAACCCAGCAAGAUAAUCCCAACUAAUCAUGAAACCCAGCAACAUAAUCCCAACUAAUCAUGAAACACACCAACAUAAUCCCAACUAAUCAUGAAACCCAGCAGCCAACAUAAUCCCAACUAAUCAUGAAACCCAGCAACAUAAUCCCAACUAAUCAUGAAACCCAGCAGCCAACAUAAUCCCAACUAAUCAUGAAACCCAGCAACAUAAUCCCAACUAAUCAUGAAACCCAGCAACAUAAUCCCAACUAGUCAUGAAACCCAGCAACAUAAUCCCAACUAAUCAUGAAACCCAGCAACAUAAUCCCAACUAGUCAUGAAACCCUGAAACAUAAUCCCAACUAAUCAUGAAACCCAGCAGCCAACAUAAUCCCAACUAAUCAUGAAACCCAGCAACAUAAUCCCAACUAAUCAUGAAACCCAGCAACAUAAUCCCAACUAAUCAUGAAACCCAGCAACAUAAUCCCAACUAAUCAUGAAACCCUGCAACAUAAUCCCAACUAAUCAUGAAACCCUGCAAGAUAAUCGCAACUAAUCAUGAAACCCAGCAGCCAGAAGACCUUUUUAUUUCUUCUUAUAUUUCAGUUUGUUGUUCCAGUAACAGGACAAUAUUUGCAGUUGGAGCUGCCAACUUGUUUAGCUGUCUGGAUGGCAAUGCCAGCGUGCCAGUUUACUCCUUUUCUGUACUGAGAAGUGUCCAAAUUGCCCAUAGCAGGAGAUCAUGUCUACAACUCAAAAUGGCAUCCAAUUUGAAAAAAAAAAUGAAAAAAGUCAGUGUGGUGGUCUCUGAUAUAUCAAAUCAAAUGUUAUUGGUCACAUACACAUGGUUAGCAGGUGUUAAUGCGAGUGUAGCGAAAUGCUUGUGCUUCUAGUUCCGACAGUGCAGCAAUAUCUAACAUGUAAUCUAACAAUUCCACAACAACUACCUAACAUCAAAUCAAAUUUAUUUAUAUAGCCCUUCUUACAUCAGCUGAUAUCUCUAAGUGCUGUACAGAAACCCAGCCUAAAACCCCAAACAGCAAGCAAUGCAGGUGUAGAAGCACAGUGGCUAGGAAAAACUCCCUAGAAAGGCCAAAACCUAGGAAGAAACCUAGAGAGGAACCAGGCUAUGAGGGGUUGCCAGUCAUCUUCUGGCUGUGGAGAUUAUAACAGAACAUGGCCAAGAUGUUCAAAUGUUCAUAAAUGACCAGCAUGGUCAAAUAAUAAUAAUCAUAGUAGUUGUCGAGAGUGCAACAAGUCAGUAACACAAGAGUAAGUGUCAGUUGGCUUUUUCAUAGACGAUCUUUGAGAGUAUCUCUACCGCCUGGGACAGGUAGCACGUCCGGUGAACAGGUCAGGGGUCCAUAGCCGCAGGCAGAACAGAUGAAACUGGAGCAGCAGCACGGCCAGGUGAACUGGGGACAGCAAGGAGUCAUCAAGCCAGGUAGUCCUGAGGCAUGGUCCUAGGGCUCAGGUCCUCCGAGAGAAAGACAGAAAGAGAGAAUUAGAGAGAGCAUAUUUAAAUUCACACAGGACACCGGAAAAGACAAGAGAAAUACUCCAGAUGUGACAGUGACCCUAGCCCCCCGACACAUAAACUAAUACACACAAAUCUAAGUAAAGGAAUGGAAUAAGAAUAUGUACAUAUAAAUAUAUGGAUGAGCAAUGGCAGAGCGGCAUAGGCAAGAUGCAAUAGAUGUUAUAAAAUACAUUAUAUACGUAUGAGAUGAGUGAUGCAGGAUGUAAACAC